rnacentral:rRNA from 1 species
UACGUAGGUGGCAAGCGUUUGUCCGGAAUACUGGGUGUAAAGCGCGUGUAGGCGGCAGACCAAGUCGGCGGUGAAAGCGCCCGGCUCAACUGGGCGAGGUCCGUGGAAACUGGUCAGCUGGAGGACGGUAGAGGCGAGUGGAAUUCCGGGUGUAGUGGUGGAAUGCGUAGAGCUCCGGAGGAACACCAGUGGCGAAGGCGGCCGCCCUGGGCCAGU